AUACUGGCUCAGGAUGAACGCUGGCGGCGUGCUUAACACAUGCAAGUCGAACGGGAUCUGGUCAGCUUGCUGGUUGGUGAGAGUGGCGAACGGGUGAGUAAUGCGUGACCAACCUGCCCCAUGCUCCAGAAUAGCUCUUGGAAACGGGUGGUAAUGCUGGAUGCUCCAACUUGACGCAUGUCUUGUUGGGAAAGUGUUUAGUGGCAUGGGAUGGGGUCGCGUCCUAUCAGCUUGUAGGCGGGGUAAUGGCCCACCUAGGCUUCGACGGGUAGCCGGCCUGAGAGGGCGGACGGCCACAUUGGGACUGAGAUACGGCCCAGACUCCUACGGGAGGCAGCAGUGGGGAAUAUUGCGCAAUGGGGGAAACCCUGACGCAGCGACGCCGCGUGCGGGAUGAAGGCCUUCGGGUUGUAAACCGCUUUUGAUUGGGAGCAAGCUUUCGGGUGAGUGUACCUUUCGAAUAAGCGCCGGCUAACUACGUGCCAGCAGCCGCGGUAAUACGUAGGGCGCAAGCGUUAUCCGGAAUUAUUGGGCGUAAAGAGCUUGUAGGCGGUUCGUCGCGUCUGGUGUGAAAGCCCAUCGCUUAACGGUGGGUCUGCGCCGGGUACGGGCGGGCUAGAGUGCAGUAGGGGAGACUGGAAUUCCCGGUGUAACGGUGGAAUGUGUAGAUAUCGGGAAGAACACCAAUGGCGAAGGCAGGUCUCUGGGCUGUUACUGACGCUAGAAGCG
rnacentral:rRNA from 1 species